GUCUACGGCCAUUCCACCCUGAACGUGCCCGAUCUCGGCUGACCUCGGAAACUAGGAAGAGAAAAAACUUAGUUCACCUAGGAAAAAGUACAAAAAAUAAGUUUCCUACUUCGUAGUCA
rnacentral:rRNA from 1 species